rnacentral:tRNA from 1 species
GCCGGGGUGGUGGAACUGGUAUACACGCGGGUCUCAAAAACCCGUGGUCGCAAGGCCAUGAGGGUUCGACUCCCUCCUCCGGCA